rnacentral:misc_RNA from 1 species
AAGUCGUAACAAGGUUUCCGUAGGUGAACCUGCGGAAGGAUCAUUAUCGUACUACAGAGGUGCAAGGGUUGUCGCUGACCUUUCCAAAAGGUCGUGCACGCCCGAGCGCUCUCAAUCCAUUUCACCCCUUGUGCAUCACCGCGCGGGGUCGCUCCCUCUUGGCUUGCUUCGAGAGGGGGAGGCUCGCGUUUUUCACACAUAAACACCCUUCUAGUUUAGAAUGUCAUUCAUUUGCGAUCACACGCAAUCAAUACAACUUUCAACAACGGAUCUCUUGGCUCUC